rnacentral:rRNA from 1 species
UGGGGAAUAUUGCACAAUGGGCGAAAGCCUGAUGCAGCAACGCCGCGUGAGUGAUGAAGGCCUUCGGGUUGUAAAGCUCUGUCUUUUGGGACGAUAAUGACGGUACCAAAGGAGGAAGCCACGGCUAACUACGUGCCAGCAGCCGCGGUAAUACGUAGGUGGCAAGCGUUGUCCGGAUUUACUGGGCGUAAAGGAUGCGUAGGCGGAUUUUUAAGUGAGAUGUGAAAUACCCGGGCUUAACUUGGGUGCUGCAUUUCAAACUGGGAAUCUAGAGUGCGGGAGAGGAGAAUGGAAUUCCUAGUGUAGCGGUGAAAUGCGUAGAGAUUAGGAAGAACACCAGUGGCGAAGGCGAUUCUCUGGACCGUAACUGACGCUGAGGCAUGAAAGCGUGGGUAGCAAACAGGAUUAGAUACCCUGGUAGUCCACGCCGUAAACGAUGAGUACUAGGUGUAGGAGGUAUCGACCCCUUCUGUGCCGCAGUUAACACAAUCAAGUACUCCGCCUGGGAAGUACGAUCGCAAGA